rnacentral:sRNA from 1 species
CCAUAGCCCUGAUAAGAGUGGAAAUCCUUUUACUUUUUUUCUUUAAAAAGUAAAAGAUUGCAACGGAUAGCAGGAAAUAGC